UCCUGAAGGAUGUCCGUGAUGCCAUGAAG
rnacentral:piRNA from 1 species